rnacentral:rRNA from 1 species
GUCCACGCCGUAAACUAUGAGAGCUAGCCGUUGGAGAGUUUACUCUUCAGUGGCGCAGCUAACGCAUUAAGCUCUCCGCCUGGGGAGUACGGUCGCAAGAUUGAAACUCAAAGGAAUUGACGGGGCCCGCACAAGCGGUGGAUGAUGUGGAUUAAUUCGAUGCAACGCGAAGAACCUUACCUGCUCUUGACAUGCCAGGAACUUUCCAGAGAUGGAUUGGUGCCCCGAAAGGGAACCUGGACACAGGUGCUGCAUGGCUGUCGU